rnacentral:rRNA from 1 species
UUACNNAGUACUAUGAAUGUUGUAAAUUUAAAACUCAAAGAACUUGGCGGUGUUUUAGACCAUUUAGGGGAACCUGUCUCGUAAUCGACAAUCCACGUUAUACCUGACCUUUUUUUGUUUUCAGUUUGUAUACCGUUGUCGUCAGGUAACUUUUUAGAAGGUAGAAGUUGGCUAGAAAAAUAGAUAAUUUAGUACGUCAAAUCAAGGUGCAGCUAAUAGAAGGGGGAGGAUGGGUUACAAUUAUAUAUUUAUAAUUACGGAUGAUUGCAUGAAGGUGUAAUGUUUGAAAGGAGGACUUGAAAGUAAAUUAGAUUUUAUAAAAAUAAAUUUGAAUAAGGCUCUGAAACGUGU